CAUUAAAAUUUCAUUGGUUUUUAUAGUUAAAAAUUGACAUGGUUAACAAAAUAAUUAGACCACAUGUAUCUUAUGUUGAUGUAUAAAGACCUGUUUUUAACAGUAAAAUUUGAUGAAAAUUUUAAUA
rfam:Gossypium arboreum cultivar AKA8401 contig_129506_1, whole genome shotgun sequence.